GCGAACUGCGCGCGGCCCCGCGGCCCGGGUUCUAGAUCCCGGAAGGGGUAAUUCGGAGCGGCACUCCUGCACUGGUUCCUUGAAACUCGGAAUUGCCUUACGUCCAUUCCAGCUCUUCGCAUUGAUCAUAAAGAAUGGUUCUGAAGAUCUUGCCUGUUUUUCAUAAGAUGGAACUUCAGAGAGUAAUCUUGUGUCAGAAAAGGCCUGCAUGUGGUGACUACCAGCAUGGUCAGAAAUUCAGACAAAAUCUGUCCUCUGCAGUACCAAGGUCAGCGCCUCUUCAGCUACUGGAGCAGUCCAACUAGAAUGUGUCAUUUUAAGGGUGGAAAAGAUUGGGACACACUAAACAGAAACAGAAACCUUGAGACAAAUGAGGCCAGUCGAUUAUUUGAGUGACCUUUCAUAAAAGGUAAUCGAGUAAUCAUGCUUGAAAUAGCUUUGCUGAAAAC